GAGGAUGAGAAGGGGAGGUUUCAGCUUUAAAGUCUCCACUUUUGCAGGAUAUAAAACGGAACAGCAUUCUCCCAGCUGCAUGGUUUCAAAUUCUUCAGUUUUAAAUACUUAUGUGAGCAACAAAACUGUCAUCAGGUCUACAGAUCGUUGAACUGCAAGUGAAUAAAAAUUUGAAAGAUGGGUACAAUAUACUUACUUCUUUUGUUCUAAGAGUGAUUUCUGAAAAGAGCCCCUUUGCUGCAACAAUUGUUGUGAAACAGAAAAAUAAAAGAGCAAAUUCUAACAUAUUGGGAGAGAGGAAAAAAAAAAAAUAUCAAAGCAGUAUUUUUGUAUGCUCAUUACUUCUAUUUUCAUGAUGGGUUUUCAGAUGGAGAUUUUGACAGAGCCAGCCUUGUAUAUUGGUUCUUUAACCACGCAUUUGAAGCAGAAUGAUCAGCAAAGGAAAACAGACUUCCUCUGGGGAACACUGUGCACUGCUUCCAAGCCAGUUCACAAGACAUGUUGGGAAGCUCCUGAUAAAAGACCUGUUUAUUCAUCUAAGUCAUCACUGACAUCUUUCUUACAAAGCACGAGAACAAUCUGUGUGACACCUUACGCACACCUCAAGAUUCAAACAUUCAGAGUUCACAGCAUCUGAACUCCCCUGAAGAAUUGCUCCUGUGAAGCCCUAUAUCUUGCCAGCACUUCAAAAUGCUGGUUUCAUCAUGAAUUACCAGUAUCUGCUCAGAUGACGUGGAUUGUUUUUCCCCUUGGAGUGUGACAACAUCUUCAUUUGAAGCACAUCAACACCGAAUUAAAAGCAGAUUCUGCCAAUAGCUAUAUGAGCAUCCCCUCCAAAUGUGAUUAUAAAUGAUCUUUAAAUGCUGUCUUCACUAAUAGUAAUUAGCUUAUACAAGUGGAGGAAUUUGUGUUCCCUUCCUGCAUUCUCUCAGGAUCUUUCAAGGUCAAAAUAUGUCAAGGCUGUGCAUUAGAGAUACCCACAAAGCAAACAAGACACAAAAACGCUCAUUAGUGGGCCUCAAAAUCAAAUUAUGAGAAAAGAACCCUUUGAACCAGUUGAAGCCAGCACAUUGCCAGAGUGAUGCUGGUAAGAGGCACAAAAGAGCAGCUGUUCAGUGGUUCCACAGAGUUUUACCAGCACAUGUUUUGGGCUUUUUUCUCAUCAUUCUGCUUUCCUCCUCUGCAACAUGUGGAUACUCCUCUGCCUCAAAAAGCAGAAUUUGAAUUCUUCAUGAGCAGUCGGCCUGAUGUGAAUGUUGUUAUUCCUAGAAGCACAAACAGCAUGAAACUACAGCAGUUAAGAAAACCUGCAACAAACCAAACACAAAAAAUUUAUACAUGGUAGUAACACAAAAGUCCAGAGAGUUCACAGAGAAGUAACUAAUUGUUUAAAGUAUUUGAGCUCUUAUUUUGGAGGAAGACUUAAAAAAAAAAAUAAAAAAUUACACUUCAAUGGAGGGCA
rnacentral:lncRNA from 1 species